rnacentral:rRNA from 1 species
UACGAAGGGUGCAAGCGUUACUCGGAAUUACUGGGCGUAAAGCGUGCGUAGGUGGUUUGUUAAGUCUGCUGUGAAAGCCCCGGGCUCAACCUGGGAAUGGCAGUGGAUACUGGCAAGCUAGAGUGCGGUAGAGGGGUGUGGAAUUCCCGGUGUAGCGGUGAAAUGCGUAGAGAUCGGGAGGAACACCAGUGGCGAAAGCGGCUUCCUGGACCAGUACCGACGUUCAGGCACGAAAGCGUGGGGAGCAAACAGG